ACCAACAGCCAUAUCACCCUGUAGCCAAAGACCAGUUACGCAAUGAAGCCAGCAGGGCUGAGCUUGGUUAGUACCUGUAUAGGAGACAACAUGGGAAAACUAGGUUGCUGUUGGAA
ensembl:rRNA 5S_rRNA 5S ribosomal RNA